rnacentral:snRNA from 1 species
GUGCUCACUUCGGCAGCACAUAUACUAAAGUUGGAAAGAUACAGAGAAGAUUAGCAUGGCCCCUGCACAAGGAUGACAUGCAAAUUUUGUGAAGCAUUCCAUAUUUUU